rnacentral:rRNA from 1 species
UACGAAGGGGGCUAGCGUUGCUCGGAAUUACUGGGCGUAAAGCGCACGUAGGCGGCUCUUUAAGUCGGGGGUGAAAUCCUGGAGCUCAACUCCAGAACUGCCUUCGAUACUGAAGAGCUUGAGUCCGGGAGAGGUGAGUGGAACUGCGAGUGUAGAGGUGAAAUCGUAGAUUAUUCGCAAGAACACCAGUGGCGAAGGCGGCUCACUGGCCCGGGUCGACUGACGCCUGAGGGU